rnacentral:rRNA from 1 species
UUAUAGAGAGUUGAUGAUCUGCUCAGGAUGAACGCUGGCGGCGUGCCUAAUACAUGCAAGUCGAACGAGUUCUCGUUGAUGAUCGGUGCUUGCACCGAGAUUCAACAUGGAACGAGUGGCGGACGGGUGAGUAACACGUGGGUAACCUGCCCUUAAGUGGGGGAUAACAUUUGGAAACAGAUGCUAAUACCGCAUAGAUCCAAGAACCGCAUGGUUCUUGGCUGAAAGAUGGCGUAAGCUAUCGCUUUUGGAUGGACCCGCGGCGUAUUAGCUAGUUGGUGAGGUAAUGGCUCACCAAGGCGAUGAUACGUAGCCGAACUGAGAGGUUGAUCGGCCACAUUGGGACUGAGACACGGCCCAAACUCCUACGGGAGGCAGCAGUAGGGAAUCUUCCACAAUGGACGCAAGUCUGAUGGAGCAACGCCGCGUGAGUGAAGAAGGCUUUCGGGUCGUAAAACUCUGUUGUUGGAGAAGAAUGGUCGGCAGAGUAACUGUUGUCGGCGUGACGGUAUCCAACCAGAAAGCCACGGCUAACUACGUGCCAGCAGCCGCGGUAAUACGUAGGUGGCAAGCGUUAUCCGGAUUUAUUGGGCGUAAAGCGAGCGCAGGCGGUUUUUUAAGUCUGAUGUGAAAGCCCUCGGCUUAACCGAGGAAGCGCAUCGGAAACUGGGAAACUUGAGUGCAGAAGAGGACAGUGGAACUCCAUGUGUAGCGGUGAAAUGCGUAGAUAUAUGGAAGAACACCAGUGGCGAAGGCGGCUGUCUGGUCUGUAACUGACGCUGAGGCUCGAAAGCAUGGGUAGCGAACAGGAUUAGAUACCCUGGUAGUCCAUGCCGUAAACGAUGAAUGCUAGGUGUUGGAGGGUUUCCGCCCUUCAGUGCCGCAGCUAACGCAUUAAGCAUCCGCCUGGGGAGUCGUG